UCCCCUGUGAACAUCAAAACAGUUGACAAUGCCUUAUUGUAAAGUUACGAGUGUUCUGGGUACAAAAAAUUUAGGUAUUAAGAUAAUGACUGAAGAUCAAUCAUGAAUUAACAACCUUUUUACCGUUUGUUAUGAUAGAACAAAUAGGUCUACACAUAAUCAGGGUGAAUAUUAGGAUUUGCAGAGGUUUUAAAAAUUGAUCAGGUUUAAGAUCAAGCAAAAUUAACAUGAGAGCGGUGUGAAUGGCAGAAUUAAACGAGAAUUGUGAACCAAAGGAGAAAUUGAAAUUUCUUCUAUUAAUGAGGUCUGAACAUCGAUUUCUGCAGAUACCAUCAAGAGGGUUGAAAUAUUAAUUGAAAUAUGAAGUAUCUGGCUGAAUAUCCUGAUUUAACCACGGGUAACCAUUAUUACAAACGAUAGUAAUUAGUUUCCGGUGAAGUGAACAUCUGCCAACCGC